GUACUAGUCCUGGUGUAUAAGAGGUAUUCAGGAUGUGUUCACUGUUCACUGUCUAUUGAACAAGCAUUCAUAUUGAUAUAAGCAUGCAGUGGAGUUACAGAUUUCAUCUUGAGUAGCCUGGUUAUUGUCAGAAAGUUAAUUAUUAUUUGCUACAUUGUUUUAGAAGUCAGGGAAGUAUAAACUAUCUUUCAGGAACAUUUUUAUUAAAAUAGUUAAUAAAAACAUUAUCUGGAAAAUUUAGUUGCAGGUUCUCUAGCCUCCUAUAAAGAUAGAGAUUCUGGAGUCCCCAUUUCCCAGACAGUGACCACAUUGGAAUAUUUGUAACAGGACAGGAAACAAAUACAUAAUGAGGCAACCACCUAGAGAAGCCAAUUUAGUUUUUCCUUAAAUAAUAAGACUUCAGCUCUAAGCUGGGGUAGGGUUUCUACUUUCUGAAAUCUUGGAACAUCUUGCAGAAUCACUUGGAGCCAUAAAAUGGAAGUGAUUUUUAUGAGAUGAAUGCAUGGUAACAAUGUAUAUUUUAUUUAGAGUCUCCUGUGCCUGCCCAUCUCCUAGGAGGAGAAAUAGUCAAGUAAACACGAUAUUAUAAUUUAUUGGUUUCUAAUGUAUACUUGAGAUACUGCUUUCUAGUUUUAAAUUCUAAGCAUUCAAGAAACUAUGGCUUUUCCAUCUGAUAUCUUUAUUGACCAAUAACAUGUAUAGCAAAAAUCUUUUCUUCCAAUGUCUGAAGAUCAUUUAAACUAUUUGAAAAUGGAUUUUUAUUUGACACAAAUUGGGCUUUAUGACAUUUAUACUAAAAAAAAAAUACUAAAAUUGAACUCUAACUAAAUCUCUGGUAUGAAGACCCCUCCUGCUCCCCUUCUUAUUUUUCCAUUGAGCCAUGUUUAUUAUCUAAAGUCCAAAUUGUUGCUAAAAAAUUGAUACAACCCACUUCCUAAAACCUGAUUACCUAAGGCAACUAAAGUCUUCUAUUUAUUUCACUAUUUACUUUAAUAAUAAGUUUGCUGAGUUGUGGUUUAUGUCUUGUGCUUUUAAUUAAAAGAAAAGAAAAACCCAGAAGAAAAAAAGGCUGGAUCUUACAAUUUUGUAAUUGUCUCUGGCUCAAGGUGGCUGAAAAAUGCUUAUAAUACUCAUGUAUACACUUACUCAUGUAAAACAAAACCCCUUUGUUCCUCAAGUUCUUUUAAAAAGUAUGAUGUUCAUUCCUUCCUCCCCCCCUUUUCUUAACUUGUCCUCGACUCUUAAUUGCCAGAUUUUGUGAAAGGAAGUAACUUAGCAACCUACUCAGCAAAGUUUAGAAUAGCUUCAAGUAAAAUCAUUUAAAACUAGAAGUAAAAUCUUUUCUAAGACCAAAAUUUAAACACUUGAUGUAUCCUUUAUCCUACUAUGCCCCAUGAUGUUUCUCUCCUUAUAAAGUGGUCUACUAAAUACGUCUUAAAUAGACUUUAAAAAUUUUAAAUCUGGUCUUUAAGGAAUCUUUGAGAGACUCAUAGAAGAAUUAUUUUAGGUAACUGACGUAAAUUAGUAUCAAUGUGAAUUAAGUAAGAUGAGUUCAUGGAUCAGAAAUCCGACUGUAAAAAGGGCAGUCAUAGAAUUUUAUACAGAUCUAGGUUCUACUUACAAAGUUCCUGAGCUAGUGUCUUUUAAAGAGAGUGGCACACUUUCUUCUACUGAUUGAAGCCAUAUUGGAUAGAGCAAAAAUCUGUAUGAUGCUGAAAGCAGUUCAUCUCAGAGCAUAAACAAACAAAAAUCAAAUAAAACUGGAGUUUCCAUUGUGGCUCAGCAGAAACAAAUCUGACUAGCAUCCACGAAGACGCAGGUUUGAUCGCUGGCUUCACUCAGUAGUUUGAGGAUCUGGCAUUGCUGUGAGCUGUGGUGUAGGUUGAAGAUGUGGCUUGGAUCUGGCGUUGAUGUGGCUGUGGUGUAGGCUGGCAGCUACAGCUCCAAUUGGACUCCUAGCCUGGGAACCUCCAUAUGCCAAGAGUGUGGCCCUAAGAUAAAAAAAGACAAAAAAAUAACCAAAUACAACAAAAAUAAGAUAAAA
rnacentral:lncRNA from 1 species